rnacentral:rRNA from 1 species
UGGCGGACGGAGUGAGUAACACGUAGGUAACCUGCCCAGAAGCGGGGGACAACAUUUGGAAACAGAUGCUAAUACCGCAAACAACGUUGUUCGCAUGAACAACGCUAAAAGAUGGCUUCUCGCUAUCACUUCUGGAUGGACCUGCGGUGCAUUAGCUUGUUGGUGGGGUAAYGGCCUACCAAGGCGAUGAUGCAUAGCCRAGUUGAGAGACUGAUCGGCCACAAUGGGACUGAGACACGGCCCAUACUCCUACGGGAGGCAGCAGUAGGGAAUCUUCCACAAUGGGCGCAAGCCUGAUGGAGCAACACCGCGUGAGUGAAGAAGGGUUUCGGCUCGUAAAGCUCUGUUGUUAAAGAAGAACACGUAUGAGAGUAACUGUUCAUACGUUGACGGUAUUUAACCAGAAAGUCACGGCUAACUACGUGCCAGCAGCCGCGGUAAUACGUAGGUGGCAAGCGUUAUCCGGAUUUAUUGGGCGUAAAGAGAGUGCAGGCGGUUUUCUAAGUCUGAUGUGAAAGCCUUCGGCUUAACCGGAGAAGUGCAUCGGAAACUGGAUAACUUGAGUGCAGAAGAGGGUAGUGGAACUCCAUGUGUAGCGGUGGAAUGCGUAGAUAUAUGGAAGAACACCAGUGGCGAAGGCGGCUACCUGGUCUGCAACUGACGCUGAGACUCGAAAGCAUGGGUAGCGAACAGGAUUAGAUACCCUGGUAGUCCAUGCCGUAAACGAUGAGUGCUAGGUGUUGGAGGGUUUCCGCCCUUCAGUGCCGGAGCUAACGCAUUAAGCACUCCGCCUGGGGAGUACGACCGCAAGGUUGAAACUCAAAGGAAUUGACGGGGGCCCGCACAAGCGGUGGAGCAUGUGGUUUAAUUCGAAGCUACGCGAAGAACCUUACCAGGUCUUGACAUCUUGCGCCAACCCUAGAGAUAGGGCGUUUCCUUCGGGAACGCAAUGACAGGUGGUGCAUGGUCGUCGUCAGCUCGUGUCGUGAGAUGUUGGGUU